rnacentral:rRNA from 1 species
GACGAACGCUGGCGGCGUGCUUAAUACAUGCAAGUCGAACGGAAAGGCCCUGCUUUUGUGGGGUGCUCGAGUGGCGAACGGGUGAGUAACACGUGAGUAACCUGCCCUUGACUUUGGGAUAACUUCAGGAAACUGGGGCUAAUACCGGAUAGGAGCUCCUGCUGCAUGGUGGGGGUUGGAAAGUUUCGGCGGUUGGGGAUGGACUCGCGGCUUAUCAGCUUGUUGGUGGGGUAGUGGCUUACCAAGGCUUUGACGGGUAGCCGGCCUGAGAGGGUGACCGGCCACAUUGGGACUGAGAUACGGCCCAGACUCCUACGGGAGGCAGCAGUGGGGAAUAUUGCACAAUGGGCGGAAGCCUGAUGCAGCAACGCCGCGUGCGGGAUGACGGCCUUCGGGUUGUAAACCGCUUUCGCCUGUGACGAAGCGUGAGUGACGGUAAUGGGUAAAGAAGCACCGGCUAACUACGUGCCAGCAGCCGCGGUGAUACGUAGGGUGCGAGCGUUGUCCGGAUUUAUUGGGCGUAAAGGGCUCGUAGGUGAUUGAUCGCGUCGGAAGUGUAAUCUUGGGGCUUAACCCUGAGCGUGCUUUCGAUACGGGUUGACUUGAGGAAGAUAGGGGAGAAUGGAAUUCCUGGUGGAGCGGUGGAAUGCGCAGAUAUCAGGAGGAACACCAGUGGCGAAGGCGGUUCUCUGGGCCUUUCCUGACGCUGAGGAGCGAAAGCGUGGGGAGCGAACAGGCUUAGAUACCCUGGUAGUCCACGCUGUAAACGGUGGGUACUAGGUGUGGGGUCCAUUCCACGGGUUCCGUGCCGUAGCUAACGCUUUAAGUACCCCGCCUGGGGAGUACGGCCGCAAGGCUAAAACUCAAAGGAAUUGACGGGGCCCCGCACAAGCGGCGGAGCAUGCGGAUUAAUUCGAUGCAACGCGUAGAACCUUACCUGGGUUUGACAUGGAUCGGGAGUGCUCAGAGAUGGGUGUGCCUCUUUUGGGGUCGGUUCACAGGUGGUGCAUGGCUGUCGUCAGCUCGUGUCGUGAGAUGUUGGGUUAAGUCCCGCAACGAGCGCAACCCUUGUUCACUGUUGCCAGCACGUUAUGGUGGGGACUCAGUGGAGACCGCCGGGGUCAACUCGGAGGAAGGUGGGGAUGACGUCAAGUCAUCAUGCCCCUUAUGUCCAGGGCUUCACGCAUGCUACAAUGGCUGGUACAGAGAGUGGCGAGCCUGUGAGGGUGAGCGAAUCUCGGAAAGCCGGUCCCAGUUCGGAUUGGGGUCUGCAACUCGACCCCAUGAAGUCGGAGUCGCUAGUAAUCGCAGAUCAGCAACGCUGCGGUGAAUACGUUCCCGGGGCU